rnacentral:rRNA from 1 species
UAAUACGUAGGGGGCUAGCGUUGUCCGGAAUCAUUGGGCGUAAAGCGCGCGUAGGCGGCCAGAUAAGUCCGGUGUGAAAGUCAAGGGCUCAACCCUUGAAUGCCGCUGGAAACUGUCUGGCUUGAGUCCGGUAGGGGCGAGUGGAAUUCCUGGUGUAGCGGUGAAAUGCGCAGAUAUCAGGAGGAACACCAAUGGCGAAGGCAGCUCGCUGGAACGGUACUGACGCUGAGGCGCGAAAGCGUGGGGAGCAAACAGGAUUAGAUACCCUGGUAGUCCACGCUGUAAACGAUGGGCACUAGGUGUCGGAGGUGUCGACUCCUCCGGUGCCGUAGCUAACGCAUUAAGUGCCCCGCCUGGGGAGUACGGCCGCAAGGCUA